GCAGUACUGCGCGAGCCUUAGCCGCGCAGGCUCAGCGAAGGGAGGCUGGCGGAUCUGCUACCUUUUGCGGUUCCCACCAAGAGUGACAAAACCUUGCUAGUGUGGGAGCUGAGCUCUGGACCCACGGCCGACGCUUUGCAUGCUGUUUCUCUUGGAGGUGGUGCAGGAGGUUGAGGAAAGCACCUCUGAUGAGCAGAUAGCUGGAGGCUGUUCCCACAGUCAUGUCUCAGCGAAGAAGUCGGAGUUCAGCAGCCAUCAGAACCAAGGGAUUCAACUUGGUGUCAUCUUCAAAGAGAGAAGACAGAAGGAGCAAGAUUAGUGGAAUCAUUACAGCCUUUGUCACUCUGAGUCCAGAUGGGAUGAAAGUUCAGCCCAAACUUUCAUUUUAGAGAGAGAGGGUCUUGCUCCGUCACACAGGCUGGAGUGCAGUGGUACAAUCACAGUUCACUACAGCCCCGACCUCCUGAACUCAAGUGAUCCUCCCACCUCAGCCUCCCGAGUAGCUGCGUCUGGCUAAUUAAAAAAGAUUUUUUUGAGAUGAGGUCUCACUGUGUUGCCCAGGCUGGUCUCCAACUCGUGGGCUCAAGCAAUCUUCUUACCUCAGCCUCUCAGAGCACUGGGAUUACAGGCGAGAGCCACCUCACCUGGCCUAACAAGGACCUCCAAGGAAGAGGAAGCAGGGGUAAAGAGAGGCAAGAAAUGCCACUGAAGACCGGGCAUGGUGGCUCAUGCCUGUAAUUCCAACACUGGACAUGGUGGCUCACGCCUGAAAUCCCAGCACCAGGCGUGGUGGCUCACACCUGUAAUCCCAGCACUUUGGGAGGCCGAGGUGGGUGGAUCACUUGAGGUCAGGAGUUCAAAACCAGCCUGGCCGACAGAGUGAAACCCUAUUUCUAUUAAAAAUACAAAAAUUAGCCGGGCAUGGUGGCGGGUGCCUGUAAUCCCAGCUACUUGGGAGGCUGAGGCAGGAGAAUCACGUGAACCUGGGAGAUAGAGAUUGCAGUGAGCCGAGAUCACACCACUGCACUCUAGCCUGGGCAACAGAGUGAGACUGUCUCAAAAAAAAAAAAAAAAAAAAAGAAGAAGAAAAAGAAGAAAUGCCACUGAGGCAGGGAGAAGGCCAUGGCUUCAGCAGGAAGCUGGGGGCACCACAAGAUGGGAGAGGAAAUGAAGACCUUCAUAAAACAACAAGAAGGAAGAUGCUGUACUCCUUCCCGCAGUCUCAGCUGUCCCAGCCCCAUCCCGAAGAGCAUCCACCGCGGAUCCUGUGGGCUCCACAACAGCAGGUGGCUGCCUUCAGCAUGGGACGGCAUAUUUCUUGUCAGCAAGUCUGAUGGGUCCCCCAGUUCCCCGCUGCUGUGGAGAGAGAGGAGGCCCACAGAGGCGGCCUGACCGCGGUACUGUGCUGGCACUCCAGACGCCCUGUUCCCACCCGUCAUCCUGCAGGCCUCUCCUCUCUUCUGCUGCCCCCACAGUCCAGGCUGCCUGCUUCUCCUGCUGUGGAUGCCACUGCCCCCACCCUAGCUUCCCCUUGUUUCUUCCUGAUUACUGUUUCUUGCUUUUGCCACCACUGGAGAAUGAGGUCAUGGGAGCAGUGGGGGACGGCAGUGCUCAGGUGGUGAAUGGACUGGGGACCCUGGAGACUGAGGUGAAUUUCCCACGCCCCCUCUGAGGGCUGCUCAGAGAGUACUUAUCUUGGAAUCCAUCUCCCCGCAACACACACCCACUGACUCCCAUGGGGAGAGGCAGUGGAGAGGACUUUAGCCUUGGUCUUCCUUUCCUACCAGGAGGAUGACAGCUCCAGCCCUGCAGCUCCUUCCUUCGCCCGACUCCUGCACUGGAGCCGGAUGGUUUAGAAUGAGAUCCAGGCCUCCUCCCACGUCUCCCUCCCUUCCUUCCAUCCCAGGCAGAUCAGGGAACUUGCUCCUCCUCAGGAAAGCAGCUGGACAGAGUGGGUGGGAUGAGGAGUCCAGGUGGUCCCCAAGGCGAGCACUGCGCAGGUGUGGGCUUUAUGAGAGAGGAGAUGAGCUACAGCUGCAGAGACUCAGACAUAUCAGGUUGAGAGAGCAAGGGAGUUAAGAAGUCAAGUUGGCUGUACACCUGUAAUCUCAGCAUUUUGGGAGGCCGAGGUAGGUGGAUCACUUGAGGUCAGGAGUUUGCAACCAGUCUGGCCAACAUGGUGAAACCCCGUCUCUACUAAAAAUUUAAAAAAUUAGCCAGGCGUGGUGGUGAGCACCUGUAAUCCCAGCUACUUGGGAGGCUAAGGCGGGAGAAUUGCUUGAACCCGGGAGGUGGAGGCUGCAGUGAGCUGAGACUGCACCACUGCACUCCAGCCUGGGCAACAGAGUGAGACUCUAUCUC